CAUGUAGCUCAGUAGUAGAACAAUUGCUUAGCAUGCAUGAGGUCCUGGGUUCAAUCCCCAGCAUG
rnacentral:tRNA from 1 species